CUCCAGCAAUGGUCCGGCCGGCGGGGCCGCAACGCAACGGUCGUCGCCAACCAUGUGGCCAUGACGGAUAUUUUGGUCUUUAUGGUGACCUGCGCAGCAUCGUUCGUCUCGAAGGAUGUGAUUCGCGGCUGGCCGUGUGUGGGCGUCAUUGCCGAGAGCAUCGGGACUGUUUUUGUCGAUAGGGAAACAGAGGAGGCGCGGAAGUCUGCAGCCGAUCGCGUGACGGCUCGCCAGGUGGCU
rnacentral:SRP_RNA from 1 species